rnacentral:rRNA from 1 species
AGUGAACGCUGGCGGUAGGCCUAACACAUGCAAGUCGAACGGCAGCACAGUAAGAGCUUGCUCUUACGGGUGGCGAGUGGCGGACGGGUGAGGAAUACAUCGUAAUCUACUUUUUCGUGGGGGAUAACGUAGGGAAACUUACUCUAAUACCGCAUACGACCUACGGGUGAAAGCAGGGGAUCUUCGGACCUUGCGCGAUUGAAUGAGCCGAUGUCGGAUUAGCUAGUUGGCGGGGUAAAGGCCCACCAAGGCGACGAUCCGUAGCUGGUCUGAGAGGAUGAUCAGCCACACUGGAACGUAGACACGGUCCAGACUCCUACGGGAGGCAGCAGUGGGGAAUAGUGGACAAAGGGCGCAAGCCUGAUCCAGCCAUACCGCGUGGGUGAAGAAGGCCUUCGGGUUGUAAAGCCCUUUUGUUGGGAAAGAAAAGCAGCAGGUUAAUACCCCGCUGUUCUGACGGUACCCAAAGAAUAAGCACCGGCUAACUUCGUG